AUUGAACGCUGGCGGCAGGCCUAACACAUGCCAGUCGAACGGUAACAGGAAGACGCUUGCUUCUUUGCUGACGAGUGGCGGACGGGUGAGUAAUGUCUGGGAAACUGCCUGAUGGAGGGGGAUAACUACUGGAAACGGUAGCUAAUACCGCAUAACGUCGCAAGACCAAAAAGGGGGACCUUCGGGCCUCUUGCCAUCGGAUGUGCCCAGAUGGGAUUAGCUAGUAGGUGGGGUAACGGCUCACCUAGGCGACGAUCCCUAGCUGGUCUGAGAGGAUGACCAGCCACACUGGAACUGAGACACGGUCCAGACUCCUACGGGAGGCAGCAGUGGGGAAUAUUGCACAAUGGGCGCAAGCCUGAUGCAGCCAUGCCGCGUGUAUGAAGAAGGCCUUCGGGUUGUAAAGUACUUUCAGCGGGGAGGAAGGGAGUAAAGUUAAUACCUUUGCUCAUUGACGUUACCCGCAGAAGAAGCACCGGCUAACUCCGUG
rnacentral:rRNA from 1 species